rnacentral:rRNA from 1 species
AUUGAACGCUGGCGGCAGGCCUAACACAUGCAAGUCGAACGAGGGGCGGACGGGUGAGUAAUGUCUGGGAAACUGCCUGAUGGAUGGGGAUAACUACUGGAAACGGUAGCUAAUACCGCAUACCAUCGGAGGUGCCCAAAUGGGGUUAGCUAGUAGGGGGGGUAACGGCUCAUCUAGGGGACGUUCCCUAGCUGGGCUGAGAGGAUGACCAGCCAAACUUGAACUUAGACACGGUCCAGACUCCGACGGGAGGCAGCAGUGGGGAAUAUUGCACAAUGGGCGAAAGGCUGAUGCAGCCAUGCCGCGUGUAUGAAGAAGGCCUUCGGGUUGUAAAGUACUUUCAGCGGGGAGGCGUUACCCGCAGAAGAAGCACCGGCUAACUCCGUGCCAGCAGCCGCGGUAAUAC